AUUGAACGCUGGCGGCAUGCCUUACACAUGCAAGUCGAACGGCAGCACGGGUGCUUGCACCUGGUGGCGAGUGGCGAACGGGUGAGUAAUACAUCGGAACAUGUCCUGUAGUGGGGGAUAGCCCGGCGAAAGCCGGAUUAAUACCGCAUACGAUCCACGGAUGAAAGCGGGGGACCUUCGGGCCUCGCGCUAUAGGGUUGGCCGAUGGCUGAUUAGCUAGUUGGUGGGGUAAAGGCCUACCAAGGCGACGAUCAGCAGCUGGUCUGAGAGGACGACCAGCCACACUGGGACUGAGACACGGCCCAGACUCCUACGGGAGGCAGCAGUGGGGAAUUUUGGACAAAGGGCGAAAGCCUGAUCCAGCAAUGCCGCGUGUGUGAAGAAGGCCUUCGGGUUGUAAAGCACUUUUGUCCGGAAAGAAAUCCUUGGCUCUAAUACAGUCGGGGGAUGACGGUACCGGAAGAAUAAGCACCGGCUAACUACGUG
rnacentral:rRNA from 1 species